AUCUUUGUUUGUGACACAACAUUGUAGGCUACUGAAGACUAAGGGUUGGCCAUUGGACAAUGUAGCAAAUUCAGUGUUGGACACCAUAGCAAAUUAAGGUUACUUAACAGCAGUGAUUUGAACAUACAGCUCUCUAGGAGACCAUGUAUGUGCUGUCACUUUCACAUAACGAGGAGGCUUGUUUCUGGAUGUGUCUGAUUAUGGGCAGCAUCUGCAAAACUUUUGGAAAGGAUCCAAUGCAGCAUGAAUGUGAUCUUUUUCGACUGCUUCUAUGAUACAGAUACUUAGCUGUUGGAAGCACUGAUUCAUUGGUCAGCAUCUGGGAUAUUUCAGAGAUGUUGUGCAUUCAAACAAUCACAAAGCUUGAUGGCAGUGUUCAGACCGGGCAGUAGGGUGCAUCAGAUCCUCUGUAAGGCUGCAACGAACACCGUGGAGUGGAACCUUAAAUAUAAUUUUCUGGCAUAUGCAGGAGAUGGUAAGAACAAGGACCAAGCUGACAGAGGUACGCUUUGAUGUGUCCUUUUUUCUUUUCCUUUCACCUUUGCACACUGUUUCGAUAUGUAUUUUUCCCCAAAUCUGGGAGAAUGGUUGCUUGAACUUUCUUGGGGAGAAAGGGAGGGAAGGAUGCAAACAA